CCCUUAGAUGUUCUGGGCCGCACGCGCGUUACACUGAUGCAUUCAACGAGCUUAUAACCUUGGCCGAGAGGCCUGGGCAAUCUUGUUAACGUGCAUCGUGAUAGGGAUAGAUUAUUGAAAUUAUUAAUCUUGAACGAGGAAUUCCUAGUAAACGCAGAUCAUCAAUCUGCAUUGAUUACGUCCCUGCCCUUUGUACACACCGCCCGUCGCACCUACCGAUUGAAUGCUCAGGUGAGCCAUUCGGACUUUCAUCAUGCUGGUUUCCAGUUUUGAUGAAGGAAAGUCUUGCGAACCUUAUCAUUUAGAGGAAGGAGAAGUCGUAACA
rnacentral:rRNA from 1 species